CCCUUAGAUGUCCUGGGCCGCACGCGCGUUACACUGAUGCAUUCAACGAGCUUAUAACCUUGGCCGAGAGGCCUGGGCAAUCUUGUUACCGUGCAUCGUGAUAGGGAUAGAUUAUUGAAAUUAUUAAUCUUGAACGAGGAAUUCCUAGUAAACGCAGAUCAUCAAUCUGCAUUGAUUACGUCCCUGCCCUUUGUACACACCGCCCGUCGCACCUACCGAUUGGAUGGUCCGGUGAAGCCUCGGGAUUGUGGUUCUUGCCGCUUUAUUGUGGCGUGACCGCGAGAACUUGUCUAAACCUUAUCAUCUAGAGGAAGGUGAAGUCGUAACA
rnacentral:rRNA from 1 species